GGCCCCAUCGUCUAGCCUGGUAAGGACGCCGCCCUUUCAAGGCGGUAGCACGGGUUCAAAUCCCGUUGGGGCCA
rnacentral:tRNA from 1 species